CCUACGGGAGGCAGCAGUGGGGAAUAUUGCACAAUGGGGGAAACCCUGAUGCAGCGACGCCGCGUGAGUGAAGCAGUAAUUCGUUAUGUACAGCCCUAUCAGCAGGGAAGAAAAUGACGGUACCUGAGUCAGAAGCCACGGCUACCUGCGUGCCAGCAGCCGCGGUAAUACGUAGGGGGCAAGCGUUAUCCGGAUUUACUGGGUGUAAAGGGAGCGUAGACGGCAGUGUGAGUCUGGAGUGAAAGGCGGGGGCUCAACCCACGGACUGCUCUGGAAACUGUACGGCUGGAGUGCAGGAGAGGUAAGUGGAAUUCCUGGUGUAGCGGUGAAAUGCGUAGAUAUUAGGAGGAACACCAGUGGCGAAGGCGGGUUACUGGACUGUAACUGACGUUGAGGCUCGAAAGCGUGGGGAGCAAACAGGAUUAGAUACCCCAGUAGUC
rnacentral:rRNA from 1 species